GAAAUGAUAGUACGAAUAAAUUGUAGCAGUAGAAUUGAGAAGCCUUCUUUUUGAAAAAGGUAGUCUGAAAAUAUGUCAUCUUUAUUUUGAGAGGCAUACAACCAUAUAGUACAUGGACACAGUAAUCGUGUAGAAGUGCUACAUCUCGUAUACUAAUUAAGAAUCAAAAGAACUUUUGUAAAUCCUACUGUUACAGAAAUUCAACUUUAGGUUGUAUUGGUGCACAGUGGUAAGGGAUUGUUGUAAGGACUGGCAGGAUGAAAACAAAAAAGCUAUUUAAAGGGAGCACUUGUUCGCUGUAACAAAAAGAAAAGCAACAAGAAAGAAAUACUUUUUUAAAUAUUUUUUAGAGAACCACUUUCUCUAAUGUAGAAAGCGUUGGUCUUUCCCAUUCGGUUCGAGACCUAUGAAAGCUACUCAGUAGAUACUGAGUUAGUAGGGAGUAGGGUUUAAACGUGAUUUUAGCAUGGUUUCUUG